rnacentral:rRNA from 1 species
GGAAUUACUGGGCGUAAAGCGCAUGCAGGUGGUUCAUUAAGUCAGAUGUGAAAGCCCGGGGCUCAACCUCGGAACUGCAUUUGAAACUGGUGAACUAGAGUACUGUAGAGGGGGGUAGAAUUUCAGGUGUAGCGGUGAAAUGCGUAGAGAUCUGAAGGAAUACCAGUGGCGAAGGCGGCCCCCUGGACAGAUACUGACACUCAGAUGCGAAAGCGUGGGGAGCAAACAGGAUUAGAUACCCUGGUAGUCCACGCCGUAAACGAUGUCUACUUGGAGGUUGUGGCCUUGAGCCGUGGCUUUCGGAGCUAACGCGUUAAGUAGACCGCCUGGGGAGUACGGUCGCAAGAUUAAAACUCAAAUGAAUUGACGGGGGCCCGCACAAGCGGUGGAGCAUGUGGUUUAAUUCGAUGCAACGCGAAGAACCUUACCUACUCUUGACAUCCAGAGAAGCCAGCGGAGACACAGGUGUGCCUUCGGGAGCUCUGAGACAGGUGCUGCAUGGCUGUCGUCA